CGGGAUGUGGCCUAGUUUGGUAAGGCGCCUGCUUUGGGAGCAGGAGACCGCGGGUUCAAAUCCCGCCAUCCCGA
rnacentral:tRNA from 1 species